UACAGAGGGUGCACGCGUUAAUCGGAAUUACUGGGCGUAAAGCGCGCGUAGGCGGCUUUGCAAGUCGGGUGUGAAAUCCCCAGGCUUAACCUGGGAACUGCAUUCGAGACUGCAUUGCUAGAGUAUGGGAGAGGGAAGUGGAAUUUCCGGUGUAGCGGUGAAAUGCGUAGAUAUCGGAAGGAACAUCAGUGGCGAAAGCGACUUCCUGGACCAAUACUGACGCUCAUGUGCGAAAGCGUGGGGAGCAAACAGG
rnacentral:rRNA from 1 species